UAGAUCUUAUAAUCACAGAUUAU
rnacentral:siRNA from 1 species